rnacentral:rRNA from 1 species
AGUCUCCUACGGGGGGCAGCAGUGGGGGAUAUUGCACAAUGGGGGGAACCCUGAUGCAGCGACGCCGCGUGGGUGAAGAAGCGCCUCGGCGCGUAAAGCCCUGUCAGCAGGGAAGAAAAUGACGGUACCUGACUAAGAAGCCCCGGCUAACUACGUGCCAGCAGCCGCGGUAAUACGUAGGAUGCGAGCGUUAUCCGGAUUUAUUGGGUUUAAAGGGUGCUUAGGCGGAAUGCCAAGUCAGCGGUAAAAUUGCGGGGCUCAACCUCGCUCCGCCGUUGAAACUGGCGUUCUGGAGUGGGCGAGAG